GAUGAACGCUAGCGACAGGCUUAACACAUGCAAGUCGAGGGGCAGCAGGGGAGUAGCAAUACUCCCGCUGGCGACCGGCGCACGGGUGAGUAACACGUAUGCAACCUGCCCUUGUCAGGGGGAUAAGCGGAAGAAAUUCCGUCUAAUACCGCAUAAUGCUGCGGGGAGACAUCUCCCUGCAGCCAAAGAUUUAUCGGACAAGGAUGGGCAUGCGGCGCAUUAGCUGGUUGGCGGGGUAACGGCCCACCAAGGCGACGAUGCGUAGGGGUUCUGAGAGGAAGGUCCCCCACACUGGUACUGAGACACGGACCAGACUCCUACGGGAGGCAGCAGUGAGGAAUAUUGGUCAAUGGCCGGGAGGCUGAACCAGCCAAGUCGCGUGAGGGAAGACGGUCCUAUGGAUUGUAAACCUCUUUUGUCAGGGAGCAAAAACUGCCACGCGUGGCAGGAUGAGAGUACCUGAAGAAAAAGCAUCGGCUAACUCCGUGCCAGCAGCCGCGGUAAUACGGAGGAUGCGAGCGUUAUCCGGAUUUAUUGGGUUUAAAGGGUGCGUAGGCGGACAGUUAAGUCGGCGGUAAAAUUGAGAGGCUCAACCUCUUCCCGCCGUUGAAACUGAUUGUCUUGAGUGGGCGAGAAGUAUGCGGAAUGCGUGGUGUAGCGGUGAAAUGCAUAGAUAUCACGCAGAACUCCGAUUGCGAAGGCAGCAUACCGGCGCCCAACUGACGCUGAAGCACGAAAGCGUGGGUAUCGAACAGGAUUAGAUACUCUGGUAGUCCACGCAGUAAACGAUGAAUACUAAUUGUUCGGGUCAAAUGAGAUCUGAGUGAUACAGCGAAAGCGUUAAGUAUUCCACCUGGGGAGUACGCCGGCAACGGUGAAACUCAAAGGAAUUGACGGGGGCCCGCACAAGCGGAGGAACAUGUGGUUUAAUUCGAUGAUACGCGAGGAACCUUACCCGGGCUCAAACGACACAGGAAUGAUCUGAGAAAUCAGGCAGUCCUCCGGGACCUGUGUCGAGGUGCUGCAUGGUUGUCGUCAGCUCGUGCCGUGAGGUGUCGGCUUAAGUGCCAUAACGAGCGCAACCCCCAUCGACAGUUGCCAGCAGGUGAAGCUGGGCACUCUGUCGAGACUGCCGGCGCAAGCUGUGAGGAAGGCGGGGAUGACGUCAAAUCAGCACGGCCCUUACGUCCGGGGCGACACACGUGUUACAAUGGCAGGUACAGCGGGAAGCCACCUGGCGACAGGGAGCGGAACCCGAAAGCCUGUCUCAGUUCGGAUUGGAGUCUGCAACUCGACUCCAUGAAGCUGGAUUCGUUAGUAAUCGCGCAUCAGCCACGGCGCGGUGAAUACGUUCCCGGGCCU
rnacentral:rRNA from 1 species